rnacentral:rRNA from 1 species
CACUUUCNGCGAGGAGGAAAGGGUGAUGCUUAAUAAGUAUCAUCUGUGACGUUACUCGCAGAAGAAGCACCGGCUAACUCCGUGCCAGCAGCCGCGGUAAUACGGAGGGUGCGAGCGUUAAUCGGAAUUACUGGGCGUAAAGCGCGCGUAGGCGGUUAAUUAAGUCAGAUGUGAAAUCCCAGGGCUCAACCUUGGAACUGCAUUUGAAACUGGUUAACUAGAGUUUUGUAGAGGGUGGUAGAAUUUCAGGUGUAGCGGUGAAAUGCGUAGAGAUCUGAAGGAAUACCAGUGGCGAAGGCGGCCACCUGGACAAAGACUGACGCUGAGGCGCGAAGGCGUGGGGAGCAAACAGGAUUAGAUACCCUGGUAGUCCACUGCUGCCUCC